rnacentral:rRNA from 1 species
GACAGAGGGUGCAAACGUUGCUCGGAAUCACUGGGCGUAAAGAGCUUGUAGGCGGUUUGUCGCGUCUGCUGUGAAAUUUCGGGGCUCAACCCCGAACUUGCAGUGGGUACGGGCAGACUAGAGUGUGGUAGGGGAGACUGGAAUUCCUGGUGUAGCGGUGAAAUGCGCAGAUAUCAGGAGGAACACCGAUGGCGAAGGCAGGUCUCUGGGCCACUACUGACGCUGAGAAGCGAAAGCAUGGGGAGCGAACAGG